GGAAACACCAUAGCAGAAAAAGAAUCAGAGAAUUUUAUCAGGUACAGAACAGAUCUUCCAAUCCCAGACCAAAGAAAACCAAAUAUACAUGUCAUGUCACCUUUAUUGUACUAGAUAUAUAUAUUUAUAUAGAGAGAGUUCUAUAAAGAGAACCCUCUGGUUUAUGCCAGAGUGCAUCCAUUAAGACAUCAAAUUCAGCGU
rnacentral:misc_RNA from 1 species